rnacentral:misc_RNA from 1 species
GAUGAAGAACGUAGCGAAGUGCGAUAAGUAGUGUGAAUUGCAGAAUUCUGUGAAUCAUCGAAUCUUUGAACGCAAAUUGCACUUUCUGGUAUUCCGGAGAGUAUGCCUGUUUGAGGGUCAAUUAAAUAAAAUCGGGCGUUUUUACUGUCCGGAAUUGGGUCGUCAUAACUUCGGUUAAGUGACUUAAAAUUUUGUAUGAUUUUUACAAACGUAUUUAAAAUAUUUUUGUACGUUUUUGUAAUAUUCAGUUUUAUUAGAUGUGGUCAUUUUUAUGGUUCGCGUCUAUAAUUUCUCAUCUAUUGACCUCAAAUCAGGUAAGAAUACCCGCUGAACUUAAGCAUAUCAAUAAGCGGAGGA